AUGUUUCCGCAAUCAGGGACGAAUAGCUCAGUAAAACUGCGAUGAUUUAGUCUGGCUGUGUAGAUAACUACGUGAAAAUGUAGCUAAGGGAAGGCAGAAUAAGACGCAGGAGUAUCAGUUAGUUGGUAGUGUAAUGGACUACCAAGACAGUGACGGUUGACGGGAAAUUAGGGUUUUGUACCGGAGAGGGAGCCUGAGAGAUUGCUCCCACGUCCAAGGACGGCAGCAGGCGCGAAAAUUGCCCACUCUUUGCAGGAGGCAGUUAUGAGACGUGAAGAUGAGUAUCUUGUAAAGAGGGAUAGGAGAAUUGGAGGGCAAGUUUGGUGCCAGCAGCCGCGGAAAUACCGACUCCAAGAGUGUGUAUGAGAGAUGCUGCAGUUAAAAAGUCCGUAGUCAUAGAAGGGCAAAGAGAGAUGCGAGGUCUCACAGUGCGAUGAUGGAGGAGCCGAUGGGGAACAUAGUAUACCAGGGCGAGAGAUGAAAUGCCAAGACCCCUGGUGGACUGAGCGAGG
rnacentral:rRNA from 1 species